CUCCAUUAGUGUUAAAUAUGGUCUCUUUAUAUCCAGAAUGUUGAGAUUUCCAAUCAGUGGUAAAGGUUUGGGUCCAGGAGGAUAAUUUGGUGGUGUCCAGUCCCACAAGACAUUGUAAAGAAAUAAAAUUGUUAACACACAUAUCAUUGCCAGUAUUAGUAAAUAUGUUGUAUCCAUUUUGAAUGUCACAAUGUAUAUAGCAGUUGGUUAUUCUGUAUUCCAG